CCGCCCUUAGCUCAGUUGGUAGAGCAACUGACUCUUAAUCAGUGGGUCCCGGGUUCGAGUCCCUGAGGGCGGACCA
rnacentral:tRNA from 1 species